rnacentral:rRNA from 1 species
GACGAACGCUGGCGGCGUGCCUAAUACAUGCAAGUUGAGCGCUGAAGGUUGGUACUUGUACCAACUGGAUGAGCAGCGAACGGGUGAGUAACGCGUGGGGAAUCCGCCUUUGAGCGGGGGACAACAUUUGGAAACGAAUGCUAAUACCGCAUAAAAACUUUAAACACAAGUUUUAAGUUUGAAAGAUGCAAUUGCAUCACUCAAAGAUGAUCCCGCGUUGUAUUAGCUAGUUGGUGAGGUAAAGGCUCACCAAGGCGACGAUACGUAGCCGACCUGAGAGGGUGAUCGGCCACAUUGGGACUGAGACACGGCCCAAACUCCUACGGGAGGCAGCAGUAGGGAAUCUUCGGCAAUGGACGAAAGUCUGACCGAGCAACGCCGCGUGAGUGAAGAAGGUUGUCGGAUCGUAAAACUCUGUUGGUAGAGAAGAACGUUGGUGAGAGUGGAAAGCUCAUCAAGUGACGGUAACUACCCAGAAAGGGACGGCUAACUACGUG